rnacentral:lncRNA from 1 species
GGUGGUGUCACGUGAUACUGAAGUAUAUUAUCGUGGACUUAGCAUAUUAAUAUUCUUUUUAGAGGGGACGUAGGACAGACAACAUGUGUAUAUAUUGACGGAGCGGCGUAUUAACUGUUCAAUUUAUUCUUCAAUAGCUCGCGUAUCAUACAAUACAUGUAACUUAUCGUGUACAAUUUAAUUACAUGUUUAUCGAUUGAUUUCAGCUAAUGUGUAUAUUUUAGCAGGUGUGUCAUUCACGGAUAUGUACUUUAACGCAAGUGCAGAAAUGUCAGGGCACCACUGGCAACAUUCACACAAAGUUUCAUAAGGCUGGCUCUUAUAACAAAAGAUUUAAAAUUUUGAAAUUUUUUCACAUUUUUGCAGUUUCCAUGGUAACGGCAGCCAUUUUUUACCAGUCUUAUGUCUCUUGCACAUCUUAACAUGGCAGUUCAUAUUAUGGUAUUGUUCCAUCGACAUGGGUCUGGCCGAUUCCGAGAAAUAGCGUGGACAAAAUGUGUGGAAGAAUAAAAAUAAUAAUAAAAAGAAAAAAAAGAAACGUAGAAUAACAAUAUGUCACCCCAACUCCGUUGAGGGUGCCAUAACUAGAUUUGUAAUUGCUAGCAAUAACGGAUGGCACCCUUCCCCUAUUGCCAGGUGAGCGGCGGCCAUUUAGAAAAUUCCAAACUCAAAAGUCAAGUCUACAUAAGCUAGGCAACAUUUGUUAUAAGUUUCCUUAAAUUUGAAGCAUUUUGAAGUUUUUCAUAUUUUUGCUGUUUCCAUGGUAACGGCGGCCAUUUUGAAUAUUCCAAAGUCAAACCCCUGCUGCAAUUUUUUGCCCUCCAUAAUAUCAUAUACCAUUUAAUGUCUCUAGAAUAAAUUUAACAUUGAUGUUCUGGAAUGUUCUGUGAAAAUUCAAAGUUUUGACCUUUUUGCAUUGUUUCCAAGGUAACAACAGAUAUUUUGGAAAUUCCAACGCCAAAUUCCACAUCUUCCAAUGUUGCUCAUCGUUACUGUGAAGUUUCCUGAAGUUUGGAGCAUUUUGAGAAUUUCGAAAUUUUUGGUGUAGUUUCCAUGGCAACAUAGUAGUUCCAAUGAUCACCAAAAUCAUCCAACACCUGUAUAUAGUGGGCACCUACAUUGUAUUAAAAUAUAAUGAUUCUGAGAUAAAGCAUAUCCAAACAGUUCACCAAAAAAAAAACUGGAUUUUUUCACAUUUGUUCUGUUUCCAUGGUAACGGUAGCCAUCUUGAACCAUUCCAUGCUUCCUGCAACUCUGCACUGGGGUCCUUACUAUAGUAGAGUUCCAUCAACAUUGGUCCAUUGGAUUUCGAGAAAUCACCUGGACAAAAUUUGUUGCAAGAAAAAUAAUAAUAAUAAUAACUAGAUUUGUAAUUGCUAGCAAUAACGGAUGGCACCCUUCCCCUAUUGCCAGGUGAGCGGCGGCCAUUUAGAAAAUUCCAAACUCAAAAGUCAAGUCUACAUAAGCUAGGCAACAUUUGUUAUAAGUUUCCUUAAAUUUGAAGCAUUUUGAAGUUUUUCAUAUUUUUGCUGUUUCCAUGGUAACGGCGGCCAUUUUGAAUAUUCCAAAGUCAAACCCAUGCUGCAUUUUUUGCC